GAUCUCUAGAUUUUCUUCGUCUCAAUUGGCGGUUCGUUUCAAUAUUCCAUGAGCAGAUCGAAAACGCCGGAAUCAGUCCAAUGUAGAAGGCAUCAACAGCCACCUGCACAAGACUUCGACAACAACGAUCUCAAUUUUUCCAAGCAUGUGAGUAUAAAUCGUGGAUUGCCCUUGAUUUACUGCUCCGUUGGUUGCACAAUCCCACGAUCACCGACAUUGCUACCUGAAUCAUUGGGUUUCAAAGCCCAUGAAGAUUAUAUUGCGUCAUGGAUCCUUUUCUACUUUGUUGGAAUACCUAAAUACAGCAAAGUUUACUGCAACGCAGAGGAGCGACUAUGCAGAACAAGCUAAAGAACCAAUGUUCUGAUGCCACUGCCCUCUAAAUGAUAGAAUAAAAGCCAUCAAGAAGAAGCCACAUGCCAGCCAAGAGAUCCAAGCAAAGUUCUGAUGGAUCAGAAGAAGACUUGUUAUGAUGCACACACCAAUUGCAGCGAUAAAAGCACCAAUCUUUCCUAACAAAAGUGCGAUUCUCGGGAAUGCAUUUUGAAGGAAAAGUCCAGCAAAUGAAACUGCAAAGCUAAGCAAGACUGCAGCCCCAAAGAGACGUGUCAAUUGUGGAGGUGAUGAACUGGGUGUGCUAAUGAACAAGGCCAAAACUGCCUGGAAAGUAAGGCCAAGAGUUGUCUUUCCAAGAUUAUUUUGAGUCUGAGAGCUGUUGGCCGGUGGAGGCCUCUGCAUUGUGAUGCAAAUUGGUAAGCAAUCUGAUGCUUCCCAAGUAAAACUGUUGAUUCCAGGAUUUCUUUCAUUAAUUGCUGUGAUGAAGGAAUAAAGUUCAUUCAUAUCUAGGGAUAUUUGCUGUGAACUUGAUUCCAUUGUGGGAACAAUAGAAAUAAAAAUCUCUCAA